AUUUCUUACUCGGUAGCUUUAGUCAGCAAACUCAACCAUCUGAUCCUCAGUUUCUUCUCAUCAGAUUUUAACAUCCAUCUGCUUUUUCUGCUCACUUCAGACCUAGCAGGGAAUCAAACUCCUACUCCAACUAGAUUCCUGAAGAACUGUGAGGAGGUGGGACUCUUCAAUGAACUAGCUAGCUCCUUUGAACAUGAAUUCAAGAAAGCUGCAGAUGAGGAUGAGAAAAAGGCAAGAAGCAGGACUGUUGCCAAAAAACUGGUGGUAUUCAGACCUAGGCUAUUUUUAUUGUGCUUUGGGAUAAUUUUCUUAAUUGGUUAAAACACAAAAUCAUGGGCUUAGUAGAGUAAAACCAGUAAAACCAGAUAGUAGUCACUAAUCCCAGUCAGCCAUUCAGGUCUUUAGGAGUUCCAGAUGAUGGAUCAGCACAAGUCUGUCGUCACCGAAAAUUAGUCCUCUUGUUCUUCCAG
rnacentral:sRNA from 1 species